GGUCAAUUCUGCAAAAAACCCAAAAACAAAAACCCUAAUUAAACCUGGACCAAAAUCAAAAUUGAACACCAUUAGUUUAGAUAAAAUGUAUUUUAAAAUAUAUUAAAAAAAAAUUAACCAUUUGAUUAAAAUAAAAUUUUAAAAUAUUAAAUGUCAUAACAUUCUUUUGUUUUGUUUUUCUCGCUCUUUUACAGUACUAAGUCCCAAUACGUUCUACAACCAAUUUUCAAAAAAAUAUAUUAUUACUAUGUCGUGGUUUGCUCUACGGAUUAUUGAUUUCGAAAUUUUUGUAAUGAAAUUUAUUGUUUGGAUACCAAAAAUUAAGGAAUCAGUCUUUGAUAAUACAAAUUUUUUAUUGUUUCUGAAAGUAAAGGAUGUGCACAUGUAUUUUUUUUUAAUCCUGAGUGUUGUUAAGAGUUUUAUCUGUCGUUGGAUCCAAAGAUGCGUGAUGACUUUAUGUAUGUGAAUUUAGUUUGUUUUUCCAUGUGAAGCCUUGUAUGGUGUCAAUGGUGUUGUCAAAGUAGAAGCAAGUCCUUGGUGUUGUGGCGAGCAAUAGUUUGUCCUUAAUGGUGAAACACAUUUUAGUAAAUGGUUUAACAUAUGAAAUUUUGUUUGUUAUAUUACCUUUAUAUAAUCGUGGAAAGAUGCUUGUAAUAUUUACCUUUGUCGUGGUCUGUAACUCCCUAUAAUGAGCAGCCUUGUUGUCCCACAUAGUUUUUUUUUUUUGAUCAAAAUUGUCCGACAUAGUUAGUUAGACAAUUUUACAAUAAUGAUGUGCAUGAGAAUAAUUUGUUUCAAUAUAUCUUUUAUUUUAUGUGUUGUUGGUACUUUUUCAAAACAACCAACAACCACCUUUGUUUUUGUUGUGGAAUUGUGAUUAUCGCUUCCUUGCAUCGGUAGAAUUCUUGAAUCAUGCGUAUUUGUCUAUCUGAUUUUAGGAUAUAGUAGACUUCUUAUGUAGUAUACUAAAAAUUUGAGAUCAUAAAAAUUAAAAUAAUUUAGUUUUUGUAUGAAUAAAUUAAAAUAAUAGUCUUCGAAUUAGUAUUCAACUAUUAUGAAAUCACAUAUUAAAAUACUGAAAAAAGAAUAAAAACAAUAAAAUUUUGAUAGUAAACUUCUAAAAAGUAUACUAAAUAAGACUUACAACAAAAUCUAUUCUAUAAUUUUAAAUAUAGUAUACUUGAAAAAAGUCUAUUAUGUCAUAAAUUUUUAACUUAGUUGCAAUUUUUGUCUUUUUAUAUAAAUGAAAUUUACACACUCUCUAUAAAAUGGUUGUAUAAUUUUCUAAAACUCUCUUUUUUUUCUAUAAAACUCUUUCGCUUCUCUCUAGUCUCUUUGAAUUUAAACAAAAAAAUUAUUAAUUUAAUUUAUGAACUAUUUCAUGUCUUUCUUACAAUAUUAUCUUGUUUUUGUAGGCCUAUAGAUAUAUAAAUUUUAAAUGAGUAUUUUGUGUUUACUUUGUUAAUUCAAAUAAAGUUAAUAGAUUCAAACUCUAAUCUCCUCAAGAUGACAAUCUUUCUGAGAAGGUUGGCGAUGAUGUUGUUCGUCCUAUAUGUUGAGGAAGAGCCACUUAAACGAAGCAUAGAUUCAGAUAAUGACUCGGUAAUCUAAAGAUCAACUUUAAUUUUGUUAACUGCAAUCCCUCUGAAGUUGGAUUAGAGUUAUUUCUUCAGGAAGACGAAGCGGCUAGUGCUGUGAAUCCUUUGUCUAGCGAUGCUGCUCACAUCCAUCCAUUGUUACAAAAUCUCCUGCUCAACAAUGACAUCCAGAGGGUAUAAUUUCCACUCAUAAAUACUGUUUUGAUAUUCGUCUUCUUGGUGUAUACUAUCUUUUAUGUGCUUUGGCAGGAAAGAUAAAAUUUAAUCGGAUUGAUUCAACUCCAUGAUCCAACUGCUCGUAAGUUUUCUCUUUCCUGACCAGAGUUUUGCUUUUUUCUGUUUAACUAGUUUGAUUGAUUAUGAUCUUGAUUUGUACUGAGAGAAAUGCACCCAUGAAUGCAUGAAGGCGAGCAGGACCAGUUUGCUUCUCAUUUUGCUUUUGACAUAGAGUGGAAGUUGGUGUGAGGAUAGGAAUAAAAGCUUUUAAGUUCCGAAAAUUCACAGACAGGAGCGGAGGCAGAUCUAGCUUCGGAAAAAAAAUGGUUUUGAUUGUUCCAAUGGUUUUAAAUGCUGCAGUCAGAAGAAAGCAAAUGCUCAGCUAGAAGAACAGAUACAGCGCUUGACGAAGAGCAGUGAUCCAUAAAGACAUGAUUUACUUUGCACUCCAUUUUGAGUGAGGCACCACUCUGUUUGCGUUCCUUUUUCUCUCUUAGAAAACGUUAUGGACAUAUAAACCGCUUUGGUUAAUCCAUUCUUUGAUUGAACAGAUACAAGUUUCCAUAUAAAAUGAUCCUCUGUUUUGUAUAAAAAUAAUAUUGACCUUUGAAACAAAGAGAGAGAAGAAAUGA